CAUGCAAGUCGAACGAUGAACCACUUCGGUGGGGAUUAGUGGCGAACGGGUGAGUAACACGUGGGCAAUCUGCCCUUCACUCUGGGACAAGCCCUGGAAACGGGGUCUAAUACCGGAUAUCACUUCCACUCGCAUGGGUGGGGGUUGAAAGCUCCGGCGGUGAAGGAUGAGCCCGCGGCCUAUCAGCUUGUUGGUGAGGUAAUGGCUCACCAAGGCGACGACGGGUAGCCGGCCUGAGAGGGCGACCGGCCACACUGGGACUGAGACACGGCCCAGACUCCUACGGGAGGCAGCAGUGGGGAAUAUUGCACAAUGGGCGAAAGCCUGAUGCAGCGACGCCGCGUGAGGGAUGACGGCCUUCGGGUUGUAAACCUCUUUCAGCAGGGAAGAAGCGAAAGUGACGGUACCUGCAGAAGAAGCGCCGGCUAACUACGUGCCAGCAGCCGCGGUAAUACGUAGGGCGCAAGCGUUGUCCGGAAUUAUUGGGCGUAAAGAGCUCGUAGGCGGCUUGUCACGUCGGGUGUGAAAGCCCGGGGCUUAACCCCGGGUCUGCAUUCGAUACGGGCUAGCUAGAGUGUGGUAGGGGAGAUCGGAAUUCCUGGUGUAGCGGUGAAAUGCGCAGAUAUCAGGAGGAACACCGGUGGCGAAGGCGGAUCUCUGGGCCAUUACUGACGCUGAGGAGCGAAAGCGUGGGGAGCGAACAGGAUU
rnacentral:rRNA from 1 species